GGCCUUGUGGCAAAAUGGUUACUGCGUUGCUUUCCGACUUAAGUUUGAUAGGCAGAGACUCUGGGUUCGAAUCCCAGCUCGGUCG